rnacentral:rRNA from 1 species
AACGAACGCUGGCGGCAUGCCUAACACAUGCAAGUCGAACGAGACCUUCGGGUCUAGUGGCGCACGGGUGCGUAACGCGUGGGAACCUGCCCUUAGGUUCGGAAUAACUCCCCGAAAGGGGUGCUAAUACCGGAUAAUGUCUUCGGACCAAAGAUUUAUCGCCUUUGGAUGGGCCCGCGUUGGAUUAGCUAGUUGGUAGGGUAAAAGCCUACCAAGGCGACGAUCCAUAGCUGGUCUGAGAGGAUGAUCAGCCACACUGGGACUGAGACACGGCCCAGACUCCUACGGGAGGCAGCAGUGGGGAAUAUUGGACAAUGGGAAAGCCUGAUCCAGCAAUGCCGCGUGAGUGAUGAAGGCCUUAGGGUUGUAAAGCUCUUUUACCCGGGAUGAUAAUGACAGUACCGGGAGAAUAAGCUCCGGCUAACUCCGUG